rnacentral:rRNA from 1 species
GACGAACGCUGGCGGCGUGCUUAACACAUGCAAGUCGAACGAUGACGACAGGGCUUGCCUUGUCUGAUUAGUGGCGAACGGGUGAGUAACACGUGAGUAACCUGCCCCCCUCUUCGGGAUAACCUCGGGAAAUCGGGGCUAAUACCGGAUAUGACUUCGCACCGCAUGGUGUGUUGUGGAAAGUUUUUCGGUGGGGGAUGGACUCGCGGCCUAUCAGUUUGUUGGUGAGGUAAUGGCUCACCAAGGCGAUGACGGGUAGCCGGCCUGAGAGGGCGACCGGCCACACUGGGACUGAGACACGGCCCAGACUCCUACGGGAGGCAGCAGUGGGGAAUAUUGCACAAUGGGCGAAAGCCUGAUGCAGCGACGCCGCGUGGGGGAUGACGGCCUUCGGGUUGUAAACCUCUUUCAGUAGGGAAGAAGCGAAAGUGACGGUACCUGCAGAAGAAGCGCCGGCUAACUACGUGCCAGCAGCCGCGGUAAUACGUAGGGCGCAAGCGUUGUCCGGAAUUAUUGGGCGUAAAGAGCUUGUAGGUGGCUUGUCGCGUCUGCCGUGAAAACCCGAGGCUCAACCUCGGGCGUGCGGUGGGUACGGGCAGGCUAGAGUGUGGUAGGGGAGACUGGAACUCCUGGUGUAGCGGUGAUAUGCGCAGAUAUCAGGAAGAACACCGAUGGCGAAGGCAGGUCUCUGGGCCAUUACUGACACUGAGAAGCGAAAGCAUGGGGAGCGAACAGG